rnacentral:rRNA from 1 species
AUUGAACGCUGGCGGCAUGCCUUACACAUGCAAGUCGAACGGCAGCACGGGGGCAACCCUGGUGGCGAGUGGCGAACGGGUGAGUAAUGCAUCGGAAUGUACCCAGUAGUGGGGGAUAACUAGUCGAAAGACUGGCUAAUACCGCAUACGCACUACGGUGGAAAGCGGGGGAUCGCAAGACCUCGCGCUAGUGGAGCAGCCGAUGUCCGAUUAGGUAGUUGGUGGGGUAAAGGCCUACCAAGCCUGCGAUCGGUAACUGGUCUGAGAGGACGACCAGUCAAACUGGGACUGAGACACGGCCCAGACUCCUACGGGAGGCAGCGGUGGGGAAUUUUGGACAAUGGGCGCAAGCCUGAUCCAGCAAUGCCGCGUGUGUGAAGAAGGCCUUCGGGUUGUAAAGCACUUUUGGCGGGAACGAAACGGCGCUUGCUAAUACCAGGCGCGAAUGACGGUACCCGCAGAAUAAGCACCGGCUAACUACGUGCCAGCCGCCGCCGUAACAC